AGGCCGGCAACGAGUAGACAAAGAAACGCGCACUGCCGCGGACCGGGAAGUCAACCU
rnacentral:snRNA from 13 species